CGGAGGAAAAGAAACCAACAGGGAUUGCCCCAGUAACGGCGAGUGAAGCGGCAACAGCUCAAAUUUGAAAUCUGGCUCCCCCCUGGGGGGCCCGAGUUGUAAUUUGGAGAGGAUGCUUUGGGCGCGGCGCCUUCCGAGUUCCUUGGAACAGGACGCCAGAGAGGGUGAGAGCCCCGUACGGUCGGACGCCUAGCCCGUGUAAAGCUCCUUCGACGAGUCGAGUAGUUUGGGAAUGCUGCUCAAAAUGGGAGGUAAAUUUCUUCUAAAGCUAAAUACCGGCCAGAGACCGAUAGCGCACAAGUAGAGUGAUCGAAAGAUGAAAAGCACUUUGAAAAGAGGGUUAAACAGCACGUGAAAUUGUUGAAAGGGAAGCGCCUGUGGCCAGACGUGCGCCCCGCGGACCACCCGUCGCUCUGCGGCGGGGCACGCCGCGGCGGCGCAGGCCAGCAUCGGCUCUCCCAGGGGGACAAAGGUCGCGGGAACGUAGCUCCUUCGGGAGUGUUAUAGCCCGCGGCGCCAUGCCUCUGGGGGGGCCGAGGACCGCGCCUUCGGGCAAGGAUGCUGGCGUAA
rnacentral:rRNA from 2 species